UACGAAGGGGGCUAGCGUUGCUCGGAAUCACUGGGCGUAAAGCGCACGUAGGCGGCUUCUCAAGUCAGGGGUGAAAUCCUGGAGCUCAACUCCAGAACUGCCUUUGAUACUGAGUAGCUUGAGUCCGGGAGAGGUGAGUGGAACUGCGAGUGUAGAGGUGAAAUUCGUAGAUAUUCGCAAGAACACCAGUGGCGAAGGCGGCUCACUGGCCCGGUACUGACGCUGAGGUGCGAAAGCGUGGGGAGCAAACAGG
rnacentral:rRNA from 1 species